rnacentral:tRNA from 1 species
GGUUCGGUAGCUCAGUUGGUAGAGCACAGGACUGAAAAUCCUGGUGUCGUGGGUUCGAUUCCCACCCGAACCA